rnacentral:rRNA from 1 species
UACGUAGGGUGCAAGCGUUACUCGGAAUUACUGGGCGUAAAGCGUGCGCAGGCGGUUAUGUAAGGCAGAUGUGAAAUGCCCGGGCUUAACCUGGGAACUGCAUUUGUGACUGCAUGGCUAGAGUUUGGCAGAGGGGGGUAGAAUUCCACGUGUAGCAGUGAAAUGCGUAGAUAUGUGGAGGAACACCGAUGGCGAAGGCAGCCCCCUGGGUCAAGACUGACGCUCAUGCACGAAAGCGUGGGGAGCAAACGGG